UAGAGGCAGCAGAGACAGGAACGGAGCCAAGGUGGCGGAGGCGGGAGAUGGGAGGGGAACCCA
rnacentral:sRNA from 1 species